GACGAAAGAAGGAUGGGCUGAAGAAGGGAUGGUGGUGGAAGCCGGUGGGAACUAGGGGAAGAUAGGUGAAGAAAGCGGAUGGGAUAGGGCCCUAGGGAAAACGUGAAAGCCAGAGGGUUAACCUCUGAAAGGCAGUAGUGGGUGGGGGUGGGGAGAAGAGGGCGUACUUAGCGCAUGCGCCAGAAGUACACUGCGGCGAUCCAGGAGAGGCAGUUCUUAACUGGCAUCAGCGCUGCGGCUGGAGGCGCGGCUGGUUCUCUGCCCGCUGUCCAGUUCCACCUUGGCUUGUGCAACCACCCUGGAUCUGCGAACUCUGUGCAGCUGCUCUGUCCACCAUAUCUUGCGGCGGCGAGCGCUAAGAAUUCAUGCUACGACACUCGAUUCAGCCAGGAGGUGACACCAAAUGUGAUCAGAAGCCAUGCCCAUGGUGAAGAGAUAUACUGAACCCGGCCUGGCCCAGUGAGGUUACUAGAGAAUUGGGAAAGGCUUAAAUAAGAUAGGAGGAAUUAAUCCAUUGCUAUGUAAAAAUGAGAUCUGGACAAAGGAACAGCCAUCUCAGUCAAGUAAGUGAUUAUUUUGACAUGGAAGUAAAUAUUUUUCUUUGACCUUUUGUUGUAUGUGUUCUAUUUAAUCGUUUUCUUAGUAAUGAACCUACCUUGCAUCUCUAGAAGAAAACUUUUUACUUUAUAAUGAUUUUGAAUUAGGUUUCCUAAAUUUGCUAUUUUUAAUGUUAUUUUCUGUUUUAUUUUUUACUCUUUUGUUUCUGUUUAACAGUGAGUUUUUGGUUAGGGUGGCAGUCUUUGUCAGGUGUUGAAGUUAGGGUCAUUAAUGAAAUCUUGUUUCCUGGUCUUUUAAAUUUAGCAGAUCUCAAACAUGUUCCAUGCCAUUAAAUAUGGUUUAGAUAUGGUUUAGGGGCACCUGGGUAGUUCAGUCGGUUAAGUGUCCUACUUCAGCUUAGGUCAUGAUCUCACGAUUUCAUGAGUUCAGGCCCUGCGUUGGGCUCUGUGCUGACAGUUCAGAGCCUGGAGCCUGC
rnacentral:lncRNA from 1 species